CACGCGCGGUGGUGGUGGUGGGGGGUGUCCCCUGAGCACGUGAUCCUGUCUGUUACCAGUGGAGCGGUGGAGCGGACCCAACAAAGGCUGGAGGUAGCUGAACGAAGGCAGUGGGUGGAGGGAACGGUCAGAAUGAAGAAUAACGUCUCGGAGCACUUCACAAUGACGGACGGGGUUGGAUGCAAAGCAACAAAGAAGGAAGAAGAGGAGUAGGAAAGGAGAAAGUAACAAUAGGCACUUCA